rnacentral:rRNA from 1 species
GAUGAACGCUGGCGGCGUGCCUAAUACAUGCAAGUCGAGCGAACGGACGAGAAGCUUGCUUCUCUGAUGUUAGCGGCGGACGGGUGAGUAACACGUGGAUAACCUACCUAUAAGACUGGGAUAACUUCGGGAAACCGGAGCUAAUACCGGAUGAUAUUUUGAACCGCAUGGUACAAAAGUGAAAGACGGUCUUGCUGUCACUUAUAGAUGGAUCCGCGCUGCAUUAGCUAGUUGGUAAGGUAACGGCUUACCAAGGCAACGAUGCAUAGCCGACCUGAGAGGGUGAUCGGCCACACUGGAACUGAGACACGGUCCAGACUCCUACGGGAGGCAGCAGUAGGGAAUCUUCCGCAAUGGGCGAAAGCCUGACGGAGCAACGCCGCGUGAGUGAUGAAGGUCUUCGGAUCGUAAAACUCUGUUAUUAGGGAAGAACAUAUGUGUAAGUAACUGUGCACAUCUUGACGGUACCUAAUCAGAAAGCCACGGCUAACUACGUG